UAGGGAAUCUUCCACAAUGGGCGCAAGCCUGAUGGAGCAACACCGCGUGAGUGAAGAAGGGUUUCGGCUCGUAAAACUCUGUUGUUAAAGAAGAACAUAUCUGAGAGUAACUGUUCAGGUAUUGACGGUAUUUAACCAGAAAGCCACGGCUAACUACGUGUCAG
rnacentral:rRNA from 1 species